UUGAUUAAAUGAUAUAUAUUGUUUUAUUUAGAAUAUAUUUUAUAUUUAAGCCUGUCACGUCAUCACAUUUUAACCCCGUUUGUCUUUUGUUAACGACAGGGGCACGGAUGACCCAAAAAUAUAACGUUAAGAGUACUUUUGAAAAAAAAAUUAAUUUAAGGUGCAAGUGGGACAUUACGGUAAACAUCAAGGGCUUUUUUGACCCUUUGCCCUAAGACAACAUUCACAACACCUUCAGUGCGCUGCACUCAACUCAACACUUCAAUCUGUGUACAUUACAUAAUAGAAAUCAAGCUUUUGAGCACCUAUUAAGUUUUCUUAGUCAAACAAACCACCUGUGCCUAAUCCCCCUCACAACAACUCCUUCCGACACUGCUCUUCUAAAGGAUCUGGACUCUUCAUUAUUCUUCUCAUUUGUCUGAAAAUAAAAUCAAGGCCAAUUUAAUUCUAAUUAAGCUUCAAAUAAAAUGCUUAAUCAGUUCCUGAAUCUUUAUUCAUUAGUCCUAGAAUACUUGUCUUGAGCAUGUUGAGCAGGAAAAGUAGACACUGCUGCAUUCUGCAAACCCAACAAUAAAUAAAAUUAAAAUACUUUACACUAAAAAAUUAAUGUUGUAACAUGAAACAUCCGAAAAUAUAACUACAUAUAUGCAAAGACCUCCAAAAUUAUCAAAGCAAAAUUUCUCCACAAUUAUCAAAUCAAAGAGCCAUAUAAUAUACUAAACAGGUUAUCCACACCAUAAAUCAUCACAUUAAAACAUCAAAACCAACAAAACCAACAGAGUGACUAAUUUCCUCCCAAGAAGCUUAAUGGGUUUGACGAAAUCAAAACCCCUGAAAUGAACCCUAGGAUUCGUUCAUUUGGUUGCAACAGAAAAUAAGAAAAUACCUUGCGAAUGCGUCGGUCGGGGUCUUGCCGUUUGCGUCGUCGGAGUUUUCGGCCGGAGCUCCAGCAGAUUUUCCCAAAAUUGGCGUCGAUCUUGGGAGACAGAGAGAGGAGAGACAAAGAGGCCAGAGCAGCUGGGUCUGUUGUUAGAGAGAGAGAGAGUGAUUUGAAUGAGAUGGAGUGUUUUUUUUUUCUUAACCCAUUGACCCGAUUUGGAAUCCAUCAUUUUUUC
rnacentral:lncRNA from 1 species